rnacentral:rRNA from 1 species
UACAUAGGGGGCAAGCGUUAUUCGGAAUUACUGGGCGUAAAGGGCGCGUAGGCGGCCUGGCAAGUGGAAGGUGAAAUCCCUCGGCUUAACCGAGGAACUGCCUCCCAAACUGCUUGGCUUGAGACCAGGAGAGGUGAGUGGAAUUCCCAGUGUAGCGGUGAAAUGCGUAGAUAUUGGGAGGAACACCAGUGGCGAAGGCGGCUCACUGGACUGGUACUGACGCUGAGGCGCGAAAGCGUGGGGAGCAAACGGG